GACAGAGGUGCCAAGCGUUAGGCGGAAUCACUGGGCUUAAAGCGUGUGUAGGCGGGCGAUCAAGUACCUUGUGAAAUCCCACGGCUCAACCGUGGAACUGCUGGGUAUACUGGUUGUCUUGAGCCAGCUAGGGGCGAGCGGAACAGACGGUGGAGCGGUGAAAUGCGUAGAUAUCAGGAGGAACACCAGUGGCGAAGGCGGCUUACUGGUCCAUAACUGACGCUGAGGUGCGAAAGCGUGGGGAGCAAACAGG
rnacentral:rRNA from 1 species